UUCCUGGUCGAUUGAUUUUGAGCGGCAAUUCUUCUACUAUCUUUUCCCUCACACGCUAUUCUUUCAUCCGCUCCGCUUCAAACCCUAAUAGUCAUCUACCCUAUGGCGAUUUUUCAGAAAACCUAAAUCUCAUCCCGUCGCUUUUGAACAUCGAAUUAGGGUUUUUGACGAAUACUUUCUUCUCCGCCGACGGUGCAUAUCUUCAAAAUAAUCUUCAAAUCAAGGUUUCUGUCACUCGAUUCCUGAUUACCAACCCUAUUUCUCAACCGUAAUAGACAUUGGUGUUUUCAACGUUGGCGAUUUCAUCAGACGAUUUUAUUUACAUCGGUCUUAUCUUGAUCCUGGUUUGAGAUUAAAGGCCUACAAUGAAUAACCGUACGACAAAAACUCAACAACUGCAAGAAUAAAUAGAUCAAGUUUGAUGCUGCUCAUGGUACUACCAUUUGUAAGAAGCUACGCAUUCUCGAUUAUGUUUUUGUAGCAUAUUGCUUUGCGUAAAUUAUUAGAUGGUGUUUUACUCAGAAGGUUCAAAUGACGAUUACCUUUUCAAGAUUGUCUUGCUUGGUGACUCGGGUGUUGGAAAGUCAAACUUGCUUGCUAGAUUUGCUAGAAACGAGUUUUACUCAAAUUCAAAGUCAACCAUAGGAGUAGAAUUUCAGACCCAGAAAAUGGAAGUUAAUGGGAAGGAAAUUAAGGCGCAAAUAUGGGAUACGGCUGGUCAAGAACGUUUUAGAGCAGUUACAUCGGCGUAUUAUCGAGGGGCUGUUGGGGCUCUUGUGGUUUAUGAUGUCAGCAGACACCAGACGUUUGGUAGCGUUGGCAGGUGGCUUAAUGAACUUCACAGUGAGUAUUGUCAUGUCCUUUUUUUAGGUCAAAGAAUUAUGCAUUUUAACUUUUUUGGUCACACAAGUCAACCAGUUUAAGAAAAUACUGUCUUUAGUUUUGGUCAACCAGUUUUGGUCUAAUUUCUGUUUAGGGUAACGAUCAUUUCGUUUUGCCAUGAAAAAGGCCUAUAAAUAAGUAUUCAAUCUACUACUUCUAAUAAAGCAAAAUAAUCUUAAGCCACAUGUCACUAACUUAAGCCAAUCAUUGCCACGUUGCAAUGUGAUAUUCCUGCUCGAUUGAUUUCGGCUGAAUCAAAUGAUUGGACUCAGUGAAGCCAGUAAAUGCGCGAAAAUUGCCAAGGUUUUUUUACGUCUUCUGACUCAUACCAUUUUAUGAUGGAUUCAUGAGUUUUUUUUUAAUCGGAACACUUUCUUGGAUAUUUGAGGAUGCUUACAGAUCGACAUUUCAACACUGAGCAUUAUUGUGCUUGACGAUAUUCAAAGAACUUGCAGGUGUUUUGACAGAAUGAUAUACAUGCAAGGAUGUAGGUACCUGCUGUAUUUCCGAUUGCAGUUCAAGCAACAAGGUCAGUUUUCUUCUGUCUUUUGGUUUACAUGAUUCUCCUAUCUUUAUGCUUUCAUUAUAUUUAAUUUGUAAAAGAGAAACAAGAGAGAGAUGGAUGGUACGUUAAUCCAGAUAUGUUAAUCUGUUUUUUUUUUUGUGUUUUCGAAGCAUAUUCUUGAUUUAUCUUUGCAUAAAUUUGAUUUGGGGUUUAGGGUUUCAUUGAUGGUUCUUUGUUGACUAUUGGAGAUCUCUCUUUGUUUCACAAUGACAAUGGUGGUUCAUUUAGACACCAUAUGAUUGACGGCGUUAGGUUCUGGCGAUAUACAAAGGUUUCGUAUUCUUCAUAUACCCAUGUUUGAUUUGACGAUAUGUAUUCAAAAACUUUAUAGGGUUUUUAUUUAAUCACGGCAUCCGAUAAUGGAAGUUGAAAUCGGCAUGUCGGUACCCGGUGAUUCGAUCAUAAAAAGGCCUAAACACGAUCAGCCUAAUCAACUUGCCUCAAAAAGAGCUAUGUGAAUUGCCAGCCUAAUCAACGAGCCUCGAAAAAAGCAAUCUGAAUUGCCAGCCUAAUCCAACGACGGAACAAUAUUGAACGACAAUGUUAUUCAAAAGAGUUCAUUUAGUCAAAGGUUAGCUGACAUUACCUAAGAAAUUGAAAAAUGAGAUGGGAUAUUUGGCUGGAAUUUGGAGAAAGUGAUCAGAAUAAGCUAUUAAGUCCAAAUUAAUCUUUUAAUCAGGUGGUUUUGGUGGUUCUGUAAUCACGAGCAACAAAGUUAUCCCGCUUCCAUUUAUACCCGUAUGGAGAUAUUGUCAUUGCUAUCGGUGAUUGGUAUAUUCAAGAUCAUAAGGAUUUAAACUGCUCUGUCAACCGCAACAUCCAAUCUUAGAAACCGAGAAGUCAGAAAACAAACACACGGGUAUCUUCUUAGGCGUAAUAUCCAUUUCAAGGGAAUCGAAAGUUAUCUCAUUGACAUGUACUCGAAAUCUGGUCUGAUACGAGUGGCUCAAAAUCUAUUUGAAAGAAGUUGCGCAAACGAUAGAGAUCAGGCGACAUGGAAUGCGAUGAUUGCCGGGAACUGCACAACGGGUUAAUCGAUCAAACGUUUAGCGUUUUCUGGCAGAUGAUUGAUCAUGAUGUUUGCAUUUUCUCAGGAAAAAAAAAACGCUAUAACAUACACGAAUAUGAUAUUAGGUUACGGGCAACACGGGAUGGGUGAAAAAGCUCUUGAUCUAUUUAACACCAUCAAACGACAUACGACCCGAUUCUGUAACGUUAGUUGCGGUUCUAUGUGCCUGCAGUUAUUCCGGGCUGGUGGAUGACGGUCUAAAGUUAUUUGAAUCAAUCGAGGCAGAGUAUAACAUCGUUCUGUCACUGGAGCAUUACUGUUGCGUUUUAGAUAUGUUAGGGAGAGUUGGUAGGGUGUCGGAAGCUUACGAUUUUGUUGAAAGAUUGGGGGAAAAAGGUAAUUAUUUGAAAGUUUAGGGUUUGCUUUUGGGCUCUUGCAGAACCCAUGAGAAUUUUGAUUGGCGAAAGUUGUUGCGAGUAAGUUGGUUGAAAUGGGUCUGGUAAAUAAGAAUCGGGUUAUCAUGCGUUGUUGUCAAAUAUAUAUGCGGAUGAAGGAAAUUGGGAGUUUGUUGAUAGAUUACGCAAAGAGAUGUAUGAAAAGGGAAUAGUGAAGGAAACGGGGUGCAAUUGGAUUGAUAAUGAUGGGCGUUCAGAUUAUUUUAUGUCGAGAGACAAAAAUUACGCUCACGGUGAUGACAUGAAGAAGCAAUGGUGAAGGAAACAAACUCAGAUAAAUCCAAGGCUUAAAUGAGGCACGAUAAUAUGUAUUUGGUAUAAAUUGCAUGCGUGACGAUGCCAGAACUGCAAGCUCCGAUAUGUGUAUGGGAGCAAAGAACUCCACCACUCAAUCCUACCGGUGAUUACUUUGUAGCAAAGAGUAUUUGUCAAUUAGCAUGUGUACCGAAUAAAUUACUUUUUGUAUGAUUUAGUUAUGUGUUAAUCAUAAAUAGCUUUACUAUGAUUUA